CAAGUGCGCUGUGUCGAACGACCUCACCCAGCAGAAGAUACCGACCCUGGAGGUGAGGAAACCGAAGGCCUGAGGAAGAACUGACUUGCCAGGAACCCCUGUUAAGGAGAAUUAUCAAAGUGUGGUUAUUAAAGGAGAACUGAGAUGGGAGUCAGACCUGGAGGCCCACACUCUUGGUUAAGACAUUAUACCACCUUGAGUCUGGCCUGUUUACUGAGGAUACAACAGAGAAAUGCAUAAUGUCCAAUCAAUUUAUUAAAUUUCCAAAGUCGGUCACGCGCAGUGGCUCACACCUGUAAUCUGAACACUUCAGGAGGCCGAGACGUGUGGAUCACGAGGUCAGGAGUUGGAGACUAGCCUGACCAACAUGGUGAAACCCCGUCUAUACUAAAAAUACAAAAAUUAGCCAGGCAUGGUGGCACGUGGCUGUAAUCCCCGCUACUCAGGAGGCUGAGGCAGGAGAAUUGCUUGAACCUGGGAGGCAGAGGUUGCAGUGAGCCGAGAUGGCGCCACCGCACUCCAGCCUGGGAGAAACAGUGAGACUCCUUCUCAAAAAAAAAAAAAAAAAGUUGCAAAGUCAUACCUUUCUGCUCUUGUCAGACAAUUAAGGGGUCUUUGAAUACUUCAGCCCUAAUAAUUUGCUUCCUAACAUACAUAUUGCAGUGCUUAUCUAAUUUUAAAUAUCUUUUUGUUCCAACACCUAAUUUUUUAUUUAGAUCUAUCUGUAUGUUUACAAUAUAUUUUUCUCUGUGUUCAUUCUUUGAUUUCAGAACUUCAAUCUUUCUGAAGCAUGUUUUCAGAGUUUCUUUUUAGUUUCUUUAGUGGAAUUCUGCUGGUGGUGUUUUGUUUUUUGUCUCUAAAUAUGUUAUUUAGCCAUAGGUUGAUGAAUAUUUUUCUUGGUUGAGAAUUUCAGAAUGGCAUUAUUAUUCUUAACAAAUAAUAUUGUUUAUUUUACCUUUCAUGCUUUCAGAUUUCAAUAUGAUUAAAGGUAAUUUGAUUUUUCUAGUGCUAAU
rnacentral:lncRNA from 10 species